AAACCACUUGUCAUAAGACGUAGUUCUAGGGUACCAAAACCUAGACAAAUGUUAGAUUUGUAAAGAUAGGUAAGCUGUAAGAUUAGUGGGGAGGAGUGUGGUGUAGUGUACACGUCUAGGGCGGACAGUAGACACUCCUCUCCCGGUUGACCGUACGAAGCCAAGGUUAAUAGAUUAGGGCGAUUAACCCCUAUCUAUGAACCUUGGUACGAAGCGUUAAUAACCCAAGGUUCAUAGAUAGGGGUUAGGUUAUCUCAUAACUAUGUGGGCGGAAGCGAGAGGGAGGGGAAUGCCUACGUCACUCGUACGACAAAGUCAAGUUUGACAGUUGUAUGUGGUUAUAUUUCCGCAUAUUUUUGUGGAAUUUUCUUAUAAUAUCGUUUAUUUGUUUAAUAUUUGUUGAGUUUUUAAACAUAUAAGGACUAUAUUACUAUAAUUACUUAUUUGGGUCCUAUACAAAGGCAGUAAUGACUUGUGAAGUGUGUUUUCGUAACCGUGUAAGAUGAGUGGUGGUAACAUUUGUAGCAUAGCUAUAUGUAAAAGCAACUCCAAAAUUCCUGAACCAGAUGGAAACAAAAUAAUGUUUUUGGACAUUUCCCAAAUACCUUAAAUUAUCAAACAAUAAUGGAUAAUAAAAUGUUACAAGAUAAAUGGGCCUCUAAACAUAAGAAAAUAGGUAGCAAACAUUUCCUCGUGUCUGAAUAUGUUAAUAUUAUGUUACGUCUUUUUUAUAUUUUAACCUAAUAAUAAAUUAUUUAUAUUA